rnacentral:rRNA from 1 species
AUGGGCGCAAGCCUGAUCCAGCCAUGCCGCGUGAGUGAUGAAGGCCCUAGGGUUGUAAAGCUCUUUCACCGGUGAAGAUAAUGACGGUAACCGGAGAAGAAGCCCCGGCUAACUUCGUGCCAGCAGCCGCGGUAAUACGAAGGGGGCUAGCGUUGUUCGGAAUUACUGGGCGUAAAGCGCACGUAGGCGGAUUUAAGUCAGGGGUGAAAUCCCAGAGCUCAACUCUGGAACUGCCUUUGAUACUGGGUAUCUCGAGUAUGGAAGAGGUGAGUGGAAUUCCGAGUGUAGAGGUGAAAUUCGUAGAUAUUCGGAGGAACACCAGUGGCGAAGGCGGCUCACUGGUCCAUUACUGACGCUGAGGUGCGAAAGCGUGGGGAGCAAAACAGGAUUAGAUACCCUGGUAGUCCACGCCGUAAACGAUGAAUGUUAGCCGUCGGCAAGCAUGCUUGUCGGUGGCGCAGCUAACGCAUUAAACAUUCCGCCUGGGGAGUACGGUCGCAAGAUUAAAACUC